rnacentral:rRNA from 1 species
UGCGUAGGCGGUCAUCUAAGUAGGGUGUGAAAUCCCCCGGCUCAACCGGGGAACUGCGCUCUAAACUGGAUGGCUUGAGUAAGAUAGGGGUGUGCGGAACUUCCGGUGGAGCGGUGAAAUGUGUUGAUAUCGGAAGGAACACCAGUAGCGAAAGCGGCACACUGGGUCUUAACUGACGCUGAGGCACGAAAGCUAGGGUAGCGAACAGGAUUAGAUACCCUGGUAGUCC